rnacentral:rRNA from 1 species
UGGAGUAUGUGGUUUAUUCGAUGCAACGCGAGAACCUUACCUGGUCUUGACAUCCCGGAGACCCUUAGGAAACUAGGGGGUGCUUCCAUCUGGAAGAAUCUGGAGACAGGUGCUGCAUGGCUGUCGUCAGCUCGUGUCGUGAGAUGUUGGGUUAAGUCCCGCAACGAGCGCAACCCUUGCCUUUAGUUGCCAGCAGUUCGGCUGGGCACUCUAAAGGGACUGCCGGUGUUAAACCGGAGGAAGGUGGGGAUGACGUCAAGUCCUCAUGGCCUUUAUGACCAGGGCUACACACGUACUACAAUGGCCGAUACAAAGGGCAGCGACACUGCGAGGUGAAGCCAAUCCCGUAAAAUCGGUCUCAGUCCGGAUUGGAGUCUGCAACUCGACUCCAUGAAGUUGGAAUCGCUAGUAAUCGUGGAUCAGCAUGCCACGGUGAAUACGUUCCCGGGCCUU